rfam:Gossypium raimondii Chr01_contig_38, whole genome shotgun sequence.
AUACCUUUCUCGGCCUUUUGGCUAAGAUCAAGUGUAGUAUCUGUUCUUAUCAGUUUAAUAUCUGAUACGUGGGCCAUUGGCUCACAUGAUAUUAAAUUUAUUUUUUGAGGGGGAGGGUCCACCACAGUAGCUUGCUACUGGGACUCUCGAGCGUAGCCCAAGCGUUGCACUAUUGCUCGGGCCUGGCGCACCCCGC